CAAUAGCGUAUAUUAAAGUUGUUGCGGUUAAAAAGCUCGUAGUUGGAGUUCUGCCAGGUGCCGCCUGUCCGCCCCAGUGGUGAGUACGUGGCGCGCAUUUGGCCCUUUCAAGGGGAGCGUAUCUGCACUUUAUUGUGUGGUGCGGGAUCCUUGACUUUUACUUUGAGGAAAUUGGAGUGUUCACGGCAGGCAUUCGCCUUGUACACAUUAGCAUGGAAUAAUAAUAUAGGAUCACGACCCUAUUUUGUUGGUUUCUAGAGUUGUGAUAAUGAUUAAUAGGGACAAUUGGGGGCGAUUUGUAUUAACACGUCAGAGGUGGAAUUCUUGGAUUGUGUUACGACAAACUACUGCGAAAGCAUUUGUCCAACGGAUGUUUUCUAUUGAUCAAGAACGAAAGUUAAGGGGAGUCGAAGACGAUCAGAUACCA
rnacentral:rRNA from 1 species